rnacentral:lncRNA from 1 species
AUAGAUCUUUAGAAUUCUUCAUCUUAGUUUUGAUGGAUGUUGUUAAUAAAAGGCCUCAAUCUUCUGUAUUGCAUUUACAAAAUUAUUUAUUGGCUUCCAUGUAAAUUUGCUAAUAUCAUAUGUAUAUUAAUGAACAAGAUAUUCCAACCUCUUUUGAUGGUGCUUCAAAUCUAAGACUUCUUCCACCUCAAAUUCUUGAUUAUUAUUCACUUCUAUAGGAGAAGGUGGUAUUUGUCUUUUUUCCAAGAUAUUUAUUAUCUUAUACAGCUCAAGUAUGGAUACAUGAAAUACAGGGUGGAUCUUCAUAGAUUUUAGUAAAUAUAAUCGAUAAGCAAUAAAAUUGAUUUAUUCACAAAUAGAAAAAGGUCCCAGUCUAUGAUAGUCCAACUUAUCACAAGCAUGAGUAGUCUUGAUAUUACAACAAAAUAACCAUAUCUUAUCACCUACAUUGAAUUGUGGUUGCUCUAUGUAAUAAACAUCUAUAUUGGUCUUUUGUCAUUCU